rnacentral:tRNA from 1 species
GUCUUUGUAGUAUAGCAAUUACCUUGGUCUU